AUUGAACGCUGGCGGCAGGCCUAACACAUGCAAGUCGAACGAGUGGCGGACGGGUGAGUAAUUUCUGGGAAACUGCCUGAUGUAGGGGGAUAACUACUGGAAACGGUAGCUAAUACCGCAUACCAUCGGAUGUGCCGAGAUGGGAUUAGCUAGUAGGUGGGGGAAAGGCUCACCUAGGCGACGAGCCCUAGCUGGUCUGCGAGGAUGACCGGCAACACUGGAACUGAGACACGGUCCAGACUCCUACGGGAGGCAGCAGUGGGGAAUAUUGCACAAUGGGCGAAAGCCUGAUGCAGCCAUGCCGCGUGUAUGAAGAAGGCCUUCGGGUUGUAAAGUACUUUCAGCGGGGAGGCGUUACCCGAAGAAGAAGCAACGGCUAACUCCGUGCCAGCAGCCGCGGUAAUAC
rnacentral:rRNA from 1 species